rnacentral:rRNA from 1 species
GUGUCAGCAGCCGCGGUAAUACGAAGGGAGCUAGCGUUGUUCGGAAUCACUGGGCGUAAAGCGCACGUAGGCGGAUGUGUCAGUCAGGGGUGAAAUCCCGGAGCUCAACUUCGGAACUGCCUUUGAUACAGCACGUCUUGAGUCCGAUAGAGGUGGGUGGAAUUCCUAGUGUAGAGGUGAAAUUCGUAGAUAUUAGGAAGAACACCGGUGGCGAAGGCGGCCCACUGGAUCGGUACUGACGCUGAGGUGCGAAAGCGUGGGGAGCAAACAGGAUUAGAAACCCCCGUAGUCC